rnacentral:lncRNA from 1 species
CUUCAUCCCCAUCGCAGAGUGCUUCUUGGAGCGUCAACGUGAACUGACAUUUCUCUAAAUGUUCCUGCACAAGGCUUUCUAUCUCCGGAUCGUCAGCUGUUAUGUUCUCCGCUGCAGUUUCCUACAAUACAUUUAGAUGCGCAAACCGUCGGUUCCAGGAUUCGAGCAGCGUGCGCGUGAGGUGGUGCUGCGUGCGCGGGUCGCGCGACACGUACAGCCGCGCGCGCACGCGCCGCCCGCGCCCGCAGCGCGCCGAGCACGGCGACCAGCCGCCCCACCCCGUCACCGCGCACGAGCCGCCCGCCGUGUCCUGCACACACCACACCACACAACCAUAUAGCACUAUUGCCAUAUAAGCGGUUUCUCCGCAAACUGGGGGACUUUUGAGGGCAAGAACUUAAACGAAGCAAAGCGAGAACAUAAUAAAUAUAUCGUGAAAAGUCCUCUUUUUAGAUGGAAAAUUAAAGAGGUUUUUUGAAAAAUUUAUUUAACGAAGGUUAUACUUAACUUAGUUUUGAGUCAUUAUAAAGCGGAUAUCUGGCUUGUACACUUUUAUAAUCAACAGACAAACUCUUCACUCUAGAACGGUUCAAUCACUUUCAUAAUUAACUGUCUAUAAUCUCUACAUUCUGAAAACGAUCAUAUGAUUUUAUACGAAAAAUACAAACUCAUGCUUGAUGUUAGGCAUGACGACCCGACGUUUGGUGACAACCAAAGCAACACUGCCAGAUUUCAAACCACUACAUACUUACCACCAUCAGUAGUAUACAAAUAUAGUAAAAUUAAAGAAACAGCUUUUUAUGACGAUUUACAUACCUAAAAAAAAUUGCUUCAUAUAACUAAAUAUGAAAAUAUAAAAAUUAGAAGAUUUAGUUUUUACGUCACUCCAUCUUUCAAAACAAGAAAACCAUAACUAAUUAUAGAUAUUAAGAUUUAAUCAUCUGAUAAACGUGAGUACGGAUGUUAACGAUUACAGGAAAUUAAUUAAUACGUACCACAUAAAACCAAUCGAAGUUAGUAGCAUUCACGUGCGGUCCUCGUGGUCUGUAAAUAAAGACAUGAACAUUAAUAUAUUUUUGCAGUAGCGGUCAUUUUAUCUCGGGUCCAGCGUCGCAAGGCAUGGCCUGGUCCAUGACCAUGCGCGCGCGGUACCCCACGUGACAGCGCUUGUGCGCGCGCGGCGCC